AACGAACGCUGGCGGCAGGCCUAACACAUGCAAGUCGAGCGCCCGCAAGGGAGCGGCGGACGGGUGAGUAACGCGUGGGAACGUGCCCUUUGCUACGGAAUAGCCUCGGGAAACUGAGAGUAAUACCGUAUGUGCCCUUCGGGGGAAAGAUUUAUCGGCAAAGGAUCGGCCCGCGUUGGAUUAGGUAGUUGGUGGGGUAAUGGCCUACCAAGCCGACGAUCCAUAGCUGGUUUGAGAGGAUGAUCAGCCACACUGGGACUGAGACACGGCCCAGACUCCUACGGGAGGCAGCAGUGGGGAAUCUUAGACAAUGGGCGCAAGCCUGAUCUAGCCAUGCCGCGUGAGCGAUGAAGGCCUUAGGGUUGUAAAGCUCUUUCGUGGGGGAAGAUAAUGACGGUACCCCAAGAAGAAGCUCCGGCUAAAUACGUGCCAGCAGCCGCCGUAAGAC
rnacentral:rRNA from 1 species